CAUACCGCAAAAAAAAAAAAAAAAAGAACCAGGCAGGAAUUUUCAUUAUUUCAAGCCUGUGUGGCCAUGGACAUGUGUAGGUGCUUAAUAACCCUAGACACACUUCGAACAGAGAUGGUACACAAUCCAUACUUCUCUUUACCUCUUCCUCCCUCUCCCCACCCUGUCUGUGGGCGGCCACAGCACGACUGUCUGGGUCUGUGUGGGAGGGGCCAGGGGGGAGGAUCUGCCCACAGGCCACGCCCACCUGCCCCUGCUGGCACCCUGCACUCUUUGUCCCAGGCCCAGCCCUGCCAUUUUACUUUCCCUCUUCUGUGAGGCACAGGGAAUAUAUUAGUCAUGUGACAGAAGCAGAAUGGGUUGUCUGAGUUUUAGGAUAGUUUACUUAAAAAAGUCUGGGAAGUAAAAGCUCAAAUUGUUGACUGUGGAGAGGACCUGGCAAGCAGGGAGUCUGGGAGAGUUAGAGGGACUGGGAAUGAAAGAAGGAAACCCAGUUUGGAAAUAGUUAUUCCGACAUAAGCUUUUCAAUCCCAUGUGCCACUAAAUUUACGUAAGUUAGGAAGGGCUGCAGUACAUCACAGAAACUAGAAAAGAGCACAGAUUUUAAGAUCAGGUAUGGAUUUCAUUCUAGUGAUACUGAGUAAAUUAUUUAACCUCUCUGAACCUCAAUUUUCGCACAAUGUAAGACAAAGAAAAUAUACUCAGCUCAUGAGAAUUAAAUGAGAGAACAUAAAGUGAACCCACACAGGGCUUAGCAUAUUUGUCACCCCUUCAGUAAAUAGUCAUGGCUGUGUUAUCAGAGCUCUUAACAAGGAAAGUGGCAAGUGGGAAGCAGAAUUUCCGGUGGGGAUCCCUGGGCCAGCCAGCCUUACGACAUGAACUUGGACAAGUCAUUUUCCACAUCACUGUGAGAUAGUGCAGGGAUGCACCACAAGGACCUGGCAGGAUGGCUGACAAGAGAUUGGGAAGUGAGUUAGGAGGAAAACUGGCUGGAUGACUGCUGUGAGAGGCGUCAUCUCCGUGCUUGCUCUGUGAUGUUUCAGUCCCAGGAAGACAAGCGCCAUGUCUCUGAGCAGUGCCUUUCAGGCUGUGGGCAACGACCCUGGGAUCAUCACCUGGAGAAUAGAGAAAAUGGAGCUGGCACUGGUGCCCCUGAAUGCCCACGGCCCCUUCUAUGAGGGGGACUGCUACAUCAUCCUCUCGACCCGGAGAGUGGGCAGCAUCCUCUCCCAGGACAUCCACUUCUGGAUUGGGAAGGACUCCUCGCAGGAUGAGAAGAGCUGCGCAGCCAUCUACACUACGCAGCUGGAUGACUACCUGGGGGGCAGCCCUGUGCAGCACCGGGAGGUCCAGUGCCACGAGUCCGACACCUUCCACGGCUACUUCAAGCAGGGCAUCAUCUACAAGAAGGGGGGUGUGGCCUCCGGGAUGAAGCACGUGGAGACCAAUACCUACGAUGUGAAGCGGUUGCUGCACGUGAAGGGGAAGAGAAACAUCAGGGCCACCGAGGUGGAAAUGAGCUGGGACAGUUUUAACCGAGGUGAUGUCUUCCUGCUGGACCUUGGGAAGGUCAUCAUCCAGUGGAAUGGCCCAGAGAGCAGCAGCAGGGAGCGUCUGAAGGCUAUGCUCCUGGCAAAGCAUAUUCGGGACAGGGAGCGAGGGGGCCGUGCUGAAAUAGGAGUGAUCGAGGGAGACAAGGAGGCGGCCAGUCCAGAGCUGAUGAAGGUCCUUCAGGACACCCUCGGGCAGCACUCCAUUAUCAAGCCUGCGGUCCCCGAUGAGAUCACAGAUCAGCAGCAGAAAUCAAAUAUCACGCUGUAUCAUGUCUCAGACUCAGCUGGGCAGCUGGCGGUCACAGAUGUAGGAACGAGGCCUCUGGUCCAGGGCUUACUGAACCAUGAUGACUGCUACAUCCUGGACCAAAGUGGAACCAAGAUCUAUGUGUGGAAAGGAAGAGGAGCCACAAAGGUUGAGAAACAGAUGGCCAUGUCUAAAGCUCUGAACUUCAUCAAGAUGAAGGGCUACCCCAGCAGUACCAACGUGGAGACCGUCAGUGACGGUGCCGAGUCAGCCAUGUUCAAGCAGCUGUUCCAGAAGUGGUCAGUGAAGGAACAGACCGUGGGUCUGGGGAAAACGUGCAGCAUUGGUAAAAUCGGUAAGAUUGCCCCCAGAUCGUGUUUUCACUGCCGGGACUCUGUAGAAAGGCAGGCACAGGUGCUUUUUGCUCACUUGGCUUCUCCUAACCCCUUCCGUGCAGCUAACGUUUCCCAGGAUAAAUUUGAUGUGACUCUGCUGCACACCAAACCAGAGGUGGCAGCCCAGGAAAGAAUGGUCGACGACGGCAACGGCAACGUUGAGGUCUGGAGAAUUGAAAACCUAGAGCUGGUCCCCGUGGAGCAUCAGCGGUAUGGCUUCUUUUAUGGGGGAGACUGCUAUCUGGUUCUCUAUACGUACAAGGUGCACGGGAAGCCACACUACAUCUUGUACAUCUGGCAGGGCCGCCACGCCUCACAGGAUGAGCUGGCAGCCUCGGCAUACCAGGCGGUGGCGGUGGACCGGCAGUUUGAUGGGGCCCCUGUGCAGGUUCGGGUUACCAUGGGGAAGGAGCCACGCCACUUCAUGGCCAUCUUCAAAGGAAAGCUGGUUAUCUUUGAGGGUGGGACUUCCAGGAAGGGAAAUGCCGAGCCCGAUCCUCCGGUAAGCCUCUUCCAGAUUCAAGGAAAUGACAAAUCUAACACCAAAGCGGUGCAGGUUCCAGUCUUCACCUCCUCCCUGAACUCCAAUGAUGUCUUUCUGCUGCGGACCCAGGCAGAGCACUACCUGUGGUAUGGCAAGGGGUCCAGUGGGGAUGAGCGGGCAAUGGCUAAGGAGCUGGCCGGGCUUCUCUGUGAUGGCUCCGAGAACACAGUGGCUGAGGGCCAGGAGCCAGCUGAGUUCUGGGACCUGAUGGGAGGAAAAACUCCCUAUGCCAAUGACAAAAGACUACAGCAGGAAAUCCUAGAUGUCCAGUCCCAUCUCUUUGAAUGUUCCAAUAAGACUGGCCAUUUCACUGUCACUGAGAUCACAGACUUCACCCAGGAUGACCUGAACCCAGAUGACGUGAUGCUCCUGGAUACCUGGGACCAGGUGUUCUUGUGGAUUGGGGCUGAGGCCAACGCCACAGAGAAGGAGAGCGCUCUUGCUACCGCCCAGGAGUACCUGCACACUCACCCCAGCGGCCGCGACACCGGCACACCAAUCCUGAUCAUUAAACAGGGGUUUGAGCCUCCCAUAUUCACAGGCUGGUUCUUGGCCUGGGACCCUCACAUUUGGAGCGCAGGGAAAUCAUAUGAACAGUUAAAAGAAGAGCUGGGAGACACUGCUGCUAUCACGAGAAUCACUGCUGUGAGUUUCUUGGAGGAGCUAUUCACAGACAACCAGAGCCAGAGAGAAACAGUAAAUGCUACAGAUGCAACAUGGCCAAAAUCCUAUCAUGUCCUUCUUAGCAUGACUCUGGUGGUCUAUUUUGAUAUGAAGAUUGUUUUAAUCGGUAGAAAUGCAGGUCUCAGAGCCAAGUUCCUUAUUUUACUGCCUUCCAGAAUUUAGAACAGACUUGCUGUUUAAAAAAACAAUGAAAACAAAACCAAAUUUUAUUAUUCAACUCUCUCUGUCAUUCAGGACAGAUUAAACUUACUGUUAGUAUUUUUCAGAAAUAAUAAGCUUCUAACCCACAUGAUAAUGUUUAUCAGUUUCUGACAGGGGCGUCCACAGAAACUCAGGCCAUUACCCCUAUUUUUUUGUUGUUGUUGGUGGUGGUGGUUUUUGUUUUUUGCGAUACACGGGCCUCUCACUGUUGUGGCCUCUCCCGUUGCGGAGCACAAGCUCCGGACGCGCAAGCUCAGCGGCCAUGGCUCACGGGCCCAGCCGCUCCUCGGCAUGUGGGAUCUUCCCGGACCGGGACACAAACCCGUGUCCCCUGCAUCGACAGGCGGACUCUCAACCACUGCGCCACCAGGGAAGCCCUUUUACCCCUAUUUUAAUGGCCAAAAGAAGUGGAGCUUCUGGCCAGGAAUCCAACAGCUCUUUAACAUCAGGACAAGUACAUGGCACCACUGUCCGAACCAUCUGGCAGUUUUGUCCUUUGUGCUGUACAAACUCAAGAUUCCAAAGCUAAUGGCAAUGUAGCAUCUUUAAAAAAUAUUUAAAAGAAGUAGGACUUGAAUUUGAAGUCAUUUGAAGACUGGAAAUGUAGAGCCCAAGUAAAAGUACCAAUAGAAGGAAUGUGAUCACAGUAUUUAAAUGAUGUUUAAGCAAAACAUCUACGCCAAACUGGCUAUACAGGAUUUACCUUAGACUUACUGAAUCACUUUCCCAAGAAGGACCCUAAAAUCUGAAUAUUUUAGAUUCCCAGAUGAUUCUGACAUGCAGCCAGUUUUGGGGACCAUUGUUCUAAAGGAUGAUUAUAAAGUGGUAAAAACCAAAAUUUAAAUAUUAUAAACACAGAACUUCAACGGCACAGACCUGAAGAGUCUUAUCCAGUGUCUACAUUCUUAUCUUCCCUAGGAUAUGAGGGACACAACCCUCUCCCUAAAUUCUGAGCCAAAAUAUUACCCCGUAGAAGUUCUGUUGAAAAAUCAGAGUCAGGAGUUGCCUGAGGAUGUGAACCCUGCCAAAAAGGAGAAUUACCUCUCUGAACAGGACUU